CUGAUAAUUCUCCUAAAAGCAUAGCAAUUACAACUAAUAAAUUGCCUUUAUUUCCUGACCCUUAAGCCGAAGCCUACAGAAAUACUACCCGGGUGAAGCUACUGGUAAUACCUCUUUAAGUGUUGGGCAUUCCAUGCCCGUGGUAUGAGUCUUCCAUCCAUGUCUGUGAGGUGAUAGGUACCUUCCCAAAGCACUGUUUUGAUGAUAUAUGGGCCUUCC
rnacentral:lncRNA from 1 species